rnacentral:rRNA from 1 species
CACGUAGGGGGCGAGCGUUGUCCGGAUUUAUUGGGCGUAAAGAGCUCGUAGGCGGCUCGGUAAGUCGGGUGUGAAAACUCUAGGCUCAACCUAGAGACGCCACCUGAUACUGCUGUGGCUAGAGUCCGGUAGGGGAGCAUGGAAUUCCUGGUGUAGCGGUGAAAUGCGCAGAUAUCAGGAGGAACACCAGUGGCGAAGGCGGUGCUCGUGGGCCGGUACUGACGCUGGAGGAGCGAAAGCGUGGGGAGCAAACAGG